GACGAACGCUGGCGGCGUGCCUAAUACAUGCAAGUUGAGCGCUGAAGGUUGGUACUUGUACCAACUGGAUGAGCAGCGAACGGGUGAGUAACGCGUGGGGAAUCUGCCUUUGAGCGGGGGACAACAUUUGGAAACGAAUGCUAAUACCGCAUAAAAACUUUAAACACAAGUUUUAAGUUUGAAAGAUGCAAUUGCAUCACUCAAAGAUGAUCCCGCGUUGUAUUAGCUAGUUGGUGAGGUAAAGGCUCACCAAGGCGAUGAUACAUAGCCGACCUGAGAGGGUGAUCGGCCACAUUGGGACUGAGACACGGCCCAAACUCCUACGGGAGGCAGCAGUAGGGAAUCUUCGGCAAUGGACGAAAGUCUGACCGAGCAACGCCGCGUGAGGGAAGAAGGUUUUCGGAUCGUAAAACUCUGUUGGUAGAGAAGAACGUUGGUGAGAGUGCAAAGCUCAUCAAGCGACGGUAACUACCCAGAAAGGGACGGCUAACUACGUG
rnacentral:rRNA from 1 species